UACGGAAGGCAGCAGUGGGGAAUAUUGCACAAUGGGCGCAAGCCUGAUGCAGCCAUGCCGCGUGUAUGAAAAAGGCCUUCGGGUUGUAAAGUACUUUCAGUCGUGAGGAAGGUGUUAAGGUUAAUAACCUUAGCAAUUGACGUUAGCGACAGAAGAAGCACCGGCUAACUCCGUGCCAGCAGCCGCGGUAAUACGGAGGGUGCGAGCGUUAAUCGGAAUUACUGGGCGUAAAGGGCACGCAGGCGGUUAAUUAAGUUGGAUGUGAAAUCCCCGGGCUUAACCUGGGAAUGGCAUUCAAGCUGGUUAGCUAGAGUCUUGUAGAGGGGGUAGAAUUCCGAUGUGUAGCGGUGAAAUGCGUAGAGAUGUGGAGGAAUACCGGUGGCGAAGGCGGCCCCUGGACAAAGACUGACGCUCAUGUGCGAAAGCGUGGGGAGCGAAACAGGGAUUAGAUACC
rnacentral:rRNA from 1 species